CUUGAAACGUGGAAAAAUAAACAUGGCACGCUCAGAAAAUGUUCUCACUGUCCAGUUUCCACUCGUGAAAGGGAAGCUGAUUCUCUGUGAAGAAUUCCUCUAGGGUUACAAACAAAAAGCUCCUUCCAGCAGCAGGAGUCUCAAGCAGGACCUGUCACCGGGAAUCCGACAUGACCAACAGCUGAUAUGUGGCCUCCUACAACUUCAAAGCCCGAGAGAAAUCACAAGUACACCGAGGGGCUGGCAGAGAGAGAGAGAGAAGGAAGCAGGCUCCCUGCUGAGCAGAGAGCCCGACGCGGGACUCGAUCCCAGGACACUGAGAUCAUGACCUGAGCCGAAGGCAGUGGCUUAACCCACUGAGCCACCCAGGCGCCCCUCUUCUUCUUUUUUUUAAAAGUCGAAAUGUAGUCUUCAUUCCAGGUGACCCUCAUGAGCCCAGCUGAAAAUCUAUUAUUAAGGAAGAAAGGAAAAUGAAAAAAUAGUAGGGGGCA